rnacentral:tRNA from 1 species
AGUUGCUUCCUGGGGAAAAUUUGUCUUGAAAACAAAUUCGAAGUGUUCAAUUCACUUAGCGACUU